UACGGGGGGAGCAAGCGUUGUUCGGAUUUACUGGGCGUAAAGGGCGCGUAGGCGGCCACCGCAGGUCGGUUGUGAAAUCUCUGGGCUUAACCCAGAAAGGUCAACCGAUACUGCGGGGCUAGAGUGCAGAAGGGGCAACUGGAAUUCUCGGUGUAGCGGUGAAAUGCGUAGAUAUCGAGAGGAACACCUGCGGCGAAGGCGGGUUGCUGGGCUGACACUGACGCUGAAGCGCGAAAGCUAGGGGAGCGAACGGG
rnacentral:rRNA from 1 species